UACGUAGGGUGCGAGCGUUGUCCGGAUUUAUUGGGCGUAAAGAGCUCGUAGGCGGUUUGUCGCGUCGGCCGUGAAAUCUCCACGCUUAACGUGGAGCGUGCGGUCGAUACGGGCAGACUUGAGUUCGGUAGGGGAGACUGGAAUUCCUGGUGUAGCGGUGAAAUGCGCAGAUAUCAGGAGGAACACCGGUGGCGAAGGCGGGUCUCUGGGCCGAUACUGACGCUGAGGAGCGAAAGUGUGGGGAGGCGAACAGG
rnacentral:rRNA from 1 species